GCGCACCAGGCGAGAAAAGUCUACAAUGGACGAAAGUCUGAUAGUGCGACGCCGUGUGUGCGAUUAAUUCCUUCGGGAUGUAAAGCACUUUUCUAUGAGAUAAAAGCUCUUUAGGUUAAUAGCUUAUUGAGACGGAUAUUAUUAUAGGAAUAAGCUCCGGCUAACUCCGUGCCAGCAGCCGCGGUAAUACGGAAGGAGCGAGCGUUGUCCGGAUUUACUAGGCGUAAAGGGCUAGUAGGCGACUAAUUAAGUUAUAUGUUAAAUCCCACGGCUCAACUGUGGUCCUGCAUGUAAUACUGGUUAGAUAGGGUACUGUAGAGGAAGGCAGAAUUCCUGGAGUAGCGGUGGAAUGCGCAGAUAUCAGGAAGAAUACCAAAAGCGAAGGCAGCCUUCUGGGCAGUUACUGACGCUGAAUAGCGAAGGUGUGGGUAGCGAACAGGAUUAGAUACCCCCUGUAGU
rnacentral:rRNA from 1 species